rnacentral:rRNA from 1 species
GGGGAAUUUUCCGCAAUGGGCGCAAGCCUGACGGAGCAAUACCGCGUGAGGGAGGAAGGUCCUUGGAUUGUAAACCUCUUUUAUCAGGGAAGAAAAAAAUGACGGUACCUGAUGAAUAAGCAUCGGCUAACUCCGUGCCAGCAGCCGCGGUAAUACGGAGGAUGCGAGCGUUAUCCGGAAUUAUUGGGCGUAAAGCGUCCGUAGGUGGUCAUGCAAGUCUGCCGUUAAAGAAUGGAGCUCAACUCCAUAGGAGCGGUGGAAACUGCAAGACUAGAGUACAGUAGGGGUAGCAGGAAUUCCCAGUGUAGCGGUGAAAUGCGUAGAUAUUGGGAAGAACAUCGGUGGCGAAAGCGUGCUACUGGGCUGAAACUGACACUGAGGGACGAAAGCUAGGGUAGCGAAAGGGAUUAGAUACCCCUGUAGUCCUAGCCGUAAACGAUGGAUACUAGGCGUGGCUUGUAUCGACCCGAGCCGUGCCGAAGCUAACGCGUUAAGUAUCCCGCCUGGGGAGUACGCACGCAAGUGUGAAACUCAAAGGAAUUGACGGGGGCCCGCACAAGCGGUGGAGUAUGUGGUUUAAUUCGAUGCAACGCGAAGAACCUUACCAAGGCUUGACAUCCCUGGAAUCUUGCAGAAAUGCGAGAGUGCCUUAGGGAGCCAGGAGACAGGUGGUGCAUGGCUGUCGUCAGCUCGUGUCGUGAGAUGUUGGGUUAAGUCCCGCAACGAGCGCAACCCUCGUUUUUAGUUGCCAUCAUUAAGUUGGGCACUCUAGAGAGACUGCCGGUGACAAACCGGAGGAAGGUGGGGAUGACGUCAAGUCAUCAUGCCCCUUACGCCUUGGGCUACACACGUACUACAAUGGUCGGGACAACGGGCAGCUAAACCGCGAGGUCAAGCGAAUCCCAUCAAACCCGGCCUCAGUUCAGAUUGCAGGCUGCAACUCGCCUGCAUGAAGGAGGAAUCGCUAGUAAUCGCAGGUCAGAAUACUGCGGUGAAUUCGUUCCCGGGCCUUGUACACACCGCCCGUCACACCAUGGGAGCUGGUCACGCCCGAAGUCGUUACUCUAACCUUUCGAGGAGGAGGGCGCCGAAGGCAGGGCUAGUGACUGGGGUGAAGUCGUAACAAGGUAACC